rnacentral:lncRNA from 1 species
CCUAUAGAAUUCCGUCCGACUCUAUGACUUAAUGGUUGGAGAGAGACUACUCAUUUUCCCAGUCACUUGGUAUUUGUCACUAUUUUCUGAAGCUGAGCGGUCUGAGUUCAACAUGAGGCAGGACCUGCUGCUGUGACAAUGGAGGGCUGGAGUGAGGGCAUGUUGGUGAAUCCCCUGCCAACCCUGAAGCUCUGUGCCACCUCUGAGCACUCAGCACCAUUCCUGUGAGCCAGUGACAGGAAGAAACAGCUAGGGCUCACUGUCACGACCAGACUGCAGAUGAAAAACAGAAAGUAUGCAAACAAGACUGCCAGCUUCUCCCCAGAUAGGCCUAGCAAAAAGCCAUGGAUACUGACAGAGUUUUGGUAAUCACUGUGAAAUAUUGGAACAUAUUUGGAUGGCCAGAAAAAGGAGGAUCCCUGGUUUUUUCAGAUAUGUGAAAAAAAAUCUAUUACAGUUCCAAAUGUUUUUCCUUCGUUUUUCUAAAUUACUUAUUGCUAUGCUCAAAAUAAAAAAUAAAGUCAGAAUGCCUAAUUGCAGUCUUAUAAAUUUAACAUGCAAUUCAAAUAUCUGAGGAGUGUUUUGUGUAGUUAAAUGAAGCUGACAUUUCCACUAAAUAGCCAGU